UCCACACUGUGCUGUAGCGCAGGCAUCCUGCCACCUCAUCUGAAGGGACUCAUCUGACUUGGCUGAGUGUUUGAAGGAGGACUGUUCCAAAUGGAGCUAAAGCAACCUUCAGUUUUCUCUAUUCAAGUUCAUCCCAACAAUGAGAAGUCCAGUCAUAGACAGAUGGUCCAGGAGGGAACUCGGGGCAUGGAGGCAUCGUACAGAGACGUCACUCUGCGUUCGCUGAAUACACUCCUGUGGACCGGACAAAAGCAGCAGGCUGACAGAUGAGGUUUCUGUCUGGGGAUCUCUGUGUUGCUUUACUGUGUGUGUAUUUGUGCAUAUGUGGUG